rnacentral:rRNA from 1 species
UAGCGAAAGCGAAUCCUAAUGAGGGUGUUUGUUAGUGGCAUGUUCUGGACCCGAAGCGGGGUGAUCUACCCAUGGCCAGUGUGAAGCAGCUGUAAGAGGUUGUGGAGGCGCGAACCCACUUAGGUUGAAAACUGAGGGGAUGAGCUGUGGGUAGGGGUGAAAGGCCAAUCAAACUCCGUGAUAGCUGGUUCUCCCCGAAAUGCAUUUAGGUGCAGCGUUGUGUGUUUCUUGCUGGAGGUAGAGCUACUGGUUGGUUGAGCGGGACUACAAUCUUAGCAAUGUCAGCCAAACUCCGAAUGCCGGUAAUGUUAAGCAUGGCAGUGAGACUGCGGGGGAUAAGCUCCGUUGGUCGAGAGGGAAACAGCCCAGAUCGCCGGUUAAGGCCCCUAAGGGUGUACUAAGUGGAAAAGGAUGUGGGAUCGCGAAGACAGCCAGGAGGUUGGCUUAGAAGCAGCCAUCCUUGAAAGAGUGCGUAAUAGCUCACUGGUCGAGUGGUUCUGCGCCGACAAUGUAGUGGGGCUCAAGUACACCGCCGAAGCCGCGGCAGUCAGCAUUUUUUGUUGGUUGGGUAGGGGAGCGUCGUGCACUGCUGUGAAGCACCUGGGUGACUUGAUGGUGUGGAGUGUGUGCGAGUGAGAAUGCAGGCAUGAGUAACGAAUGAAAAGUGGAAAACUUUUCCGCCGGAUGACUAAGGGUUCCUGGGUUAAGCUAAUCUUCCCAGGGUGAGUCGGGACCUAAGGCGAGGCCGACAGGCGUAGUCGAUGGAUAACCAGUUGAUAUUCUGGUACCCGUGUAUGUGCGCCCAGUGGUGAAUCAGUGGUACUAACCAUCCAUGGAUCUUCUGGUCAUGCUUUUGUGUGGUUGGUGGUGAUGUGCGUGGGAUCUUCGUUGGUAGUAGCCAAGUGAUGGGGUGACGCAGUGAGGUAGCUGAGCCAUGUAGUGGAUUGUGGUGUAAGCGUGUGGCCCGUGGCAUAGGUAAAUCCGUGUCGCAUAGUGGGUGAGGCGUGAUGCGUAGACCUUUGUGGUUGAUGUUGGUGAUCCUGUACUGUCGAGAAAAGCCUCUAGCGAGUGCAUAUAUGGCCCGUACCCAUAACCGACACAGGUGGUCAGGUAGAGAAUACUAAGGCGAUCGGGUGAACUGUGGUUAAGGAACUCGGCAAAUUGCCCCCGUAACUUCGGGAGAAGGGGGACCAUUGCUGGUGACCGACGUGGUUGAGCUGGUGGUGGUCGCAGAGAAUAGAGGGAAGCGACUGUUUAUUAAAAACACAGGUCCGUGCGAAAACGUGGAAGUUGAUGUAUACGGACUGACGCCUGCCCGGUGCUGGAAGGUUAAGAGGACCUGUUAGGGCAUUGUUGUCCGAAGCGGAGAAUUUAAGCCCCAGUAAACGGCGGUGGUAACUAUAACCAUCCUAAGGUAGCGAAAUUCCUUGUCGGGUAAGUUCCGACCUGCACGAAUGGCGUAACGACUUCCCUGCUGUCUCAACCACAGGCCCGGUGAAAUUGCAGUACGAGUAAAGAUGCUCGUUACGCGCGGCAGGACGAAAAGACCCCGGGACCUUCACUAUAGCUUGGUAUUGGUGUUUGGUUCGGUUUGUGUAGGAUAGGUGGGAGACUGUGAAGUGGUCACGCUAGUGGUUGUGGAGUCGAAAGUUGAAAUACCACUCUGAUCGGAUUGAGCACCUUAACCUUGGCCCAUGAUCUGGGUUGGGGACAGUGCCUGGUGGGUAGUUUAACUGGGGCGGUUGCCUCCUAAAGUGUAACGGAGGCGCCCAAAGGUUCCCUCAGCCUGGUUGGCAAUCAGGUGGUGAGUGUAAGUGCACAAGGGAGCUUGACUGUGAGACUGACAGGUCGAGCAGGGACGAAAGUCGGGACUAGUGAUCCGGCAUCUACUUGUGGAAGUGGUGUCGCUCAACGGAUAAAAGGUACCCCGGGGAUAACAGGCUGAUCUUCCCCAAGAGUCCAUAUCGACGGGAUGGUUUGGCACCUCGAUGUCGGCUCGUCGCAUCCUGGGGCUGGAGUAGGUCCCAAGGGUUGGGCUGUUCGCCCAUUAAAGCGGCACGCGAGCUGGGUUUAGAACGUCGUGAGACAGUUCGGUCUCUAUCCGCCGCGCGCGUUGAAACUUGAAGAAGGCUGUCCCUAGUACGAGAGGACCGGGACGGACGUACCUCUAGUGUGCCAGUUGUCACGCCAGUGGCAGGGCUGGUUGGCUACGUACGGGAGGGAUAACCGCUGAAAGCAUCUAAGCGGGAAGCCUGUUUUGAGAUGAGGUUUCUUUUGAGGUUCCCUCUAGACUAGGGGGUUGAUAGGCCAGAUCUGGAAGCGUAGUAAUGCGUUAAGGUGACUGGUACUAAUAUGACCGAGUAAUAACAUUGU